rnacentral:lncRNA from 1 species
GUUCUGAUAUGAUUUUCUUUAUCUUAUCAAAAGUCCCCCAAUGAGCUGAGUUGAGUACCCAGAGAGUUGAGAGGACUGGCUGCUUUCUGAUGGAAGUUACUAAGCUGGCCCAAAAUGGGGACCUAUCAGUUACUAAUUACAAAGGUCUUACAGACCAUCCUGGAAUCGACUGCUUAUGAUUGCUUUGGAAACCUCACCUCUUUUUGCAUUUGCACCACCAAGC